rnacentral:rRNA from 1 species
GAUGAACGCUGACAGAAUGCUUAACACAUGCAAGUCUUUGGCGAAGCUGUGCUUGCACAGCCUAGCCAAGGCGGACGGGUGAGUAACGCGUAAGGAACUUGCCCUGCAGUCAGGGAUAACAGACGGAAACGACUGAUAAGACCUGGUAAAGUCAGGCGGACUCAUGUCCAGCCUGAUGAAAAGUGAUGCUGCAGGAGAGCCUUGCGUCCUAUUAGCUUGUUGGUGGGGUAACGGCCCACCAAGGCGAUGAUAGGUAGCCGGCCUGAGAGGGUGGACGGCCACAAGGGGACUGAGAUACGGCCCUUACUCCUACGGGAGGCAGCAGUUGGGAAUAUUGGACAAUGGGGGCAACCCUGAUCCAGCAAUUCUGUGUGCACGAUGAAGGUUUUCGGAUUGUAAAGUGCUUUCAGCAGGGAAGAAAAAAAUGACGGUACCUGCAGAAGAAGCGACGGCUAAAUACGUG